GUGAGGAAUAUUGGACAAUGGACGAGAGUCUGAACCAGCCAAGUCGCGUGAAGGAAGACGGUUCUAUGAAUUGUAAACUUCUUUUGUGCAGGAAUAAAGUGGGUUACGUGUAACCUUUUGUAUGUACUGUACGAAUAAGGAUCGGCUAACUCCGUGCCAGCAGCCGCGGUAAUACGGAGGAUCCGAGCGUUAUCCGGAUUUAUUGGGUUUAAAGGGUGCGUAGGUGGAUUGAUAAGUCAGCGGUGAAAGUUUGCAGCUUAACUGUAAAAUUGCCGUUGAAACUGUCGGUCUUGAGUGCAAAUGAGGUAGGCGGAAUGUGUUGUGUAGCGGUGAAAUGCUUAGAUAUAACACAGAACUCCGAUUGCGAAGGCAGCUUACUGGGAUGCAACUGACACUGAUGCACGAAAGCGUGGGUAUCAAACAGGAUUAGAUACCCUAGUAGUCC
rnacentral:rRNA from 1 species